rnacentral:rRNA from 1 species
CGCGUAGGUGGUAGUGUAAGUCUGGGGUGGAAUGCCGGGGCUUAACCCUGGAAUUGCCUUGGAAACUGCAUUACUUGAGUCAGUGAGGGGAGGGUAGAAUUCCUGGUGUAGCGGUGAAAUGCGUAGAUAUCAGGAGGAAGGCCUGUGGCGAAGGCGGCCCUCUGGCGCUGGACUGACACUGAGGCGCGAAAGCGUGGGGAGCAAACAGGAUUAGAUACCCUGGUAGUCCACGCCCUAAACGGUGGGCACUAGGUGUAGGGCUCGUAAGGGUUCUGUGCCGAAGGGAAACCAUUAAGUGCCCCCGCCGUGGGGAGUACGGCCGCAAGGUUGAA